UGGCGGACGGGUGAGUAACGCGUGGGUAACCUACCUCAUACAGGGGGAUAACAGUUGGAAACGACCGCUAAUACCGCAUAACCCGCUAGUAUCGCAUGAUACGGACGGAAAAGAUUUAUCGGUAUGAGAUGGACCCGCGUCUGAUUAGCCAGUUGGCAGGGUAACGGCCUACCAAAGCGACGAUCAGUAGCCGGCCUGAGAGGGUGAACGGCCACAUUGGGACUGAGACACGGCCCAAACUCCUACGGGAGGCAGCAG
rnacentral:rRNA from 1 species